UUCCCUCACCAGUAGUAGGAGCUGAAAGGUUGGCUACCUUGCCUUUGACUCACGAGCUGCAUAAGUAAAUCCUUCACAUGUGAGAGCUCAGAGGUAAUCUGUACAUCUUGCUCAUGCAAUACUUGUUCGUUAUCCUCCCGCUCCUGUAGCUUGCAUAUGAGAUCGGCCAUUUCAUCAUGAAGAUCGUGAUUUUGCUGAGCUGAUAUGAAGGAUGUAUUAGCAGAAGACUUGUUUGGGAAGAAAACUGAAGCCUGUGAUCCAAGACCGUACACCCUUCUUUUUUUCUCUCCACCCACUGCCUCAAAGUAUAAUUGAGCCUCAUCAAUGUGAGAUGCCUCAGUACUGUCAUUAUCUUUCUGUGAUGCUUGCUCUUUUAAAGUCAGAAAG
rnacentral:lncRNA from 1 species